CGAGCGUCACUCUUAGGUGGUUAUGUCCGUUGCGGUGGUUCUAUUCCAUUGAGCUCAACUAUAGAGAGGAUGAAGAAGCAGUUGGGCCGUACACCAACCCACGAGGAGGUCUUCAAAGAAACCCA